UUAUGCGCCCUUUUAUUACAAAGCUUUGAACUCUCAGUCACAUUUUAAUGUGUGUGGCUGAUAGAGGGAACUAUGACUGUUUCAACAACUUGCAAGACUCGGGAUCCAUACAUCAUUGUCAAAGCCCAUAACCUUAUAAAACUUUUGUCAAGGAGUAUAUACCAGCACCACAAGCAUGCUAGAGCAUCAAGGGAAGAACCAUACUUGUGGAAGAUCGUCAUAUCAAUGCAAUGAUCUAGGACUCACUAUGUCAAAGUGACGACAACUAGCAUGCCUCUCAGGUACCAAAUGCAGAUCCAUUUAAUGCAUGAAACUGUGAAGUGAUAUUUGGAAGAAUGUACACUUGAGUGUCUAAGAAGUUUACAAUUGAUUGUUUUUAUGUCAUGUAAUGCACCAAUAGUUGUGCAUAUGUAAUUAUAAUUGGAGUACAUCUGUACUCUUA